CGCCAAUAGCCGACCGAAAAAAUGUAUAUAGAAAAUUACCUUAUUCAUGUGUACUAUAAGAAGAAAAUAUCGAUAAAAUGUGUGAAGUUUCUAAAGGGGGGUGGGGGGUCUCCAGAGAAACGAACAUAUGACGUUUCUCAUGGACAAAAUCGAUAUGUGAGGCUUCCCUAAGGGCAAUCACUAAUUAAUAUUUCGUUUCCGAAAUUUUUUUCCGGGACCUUAAUUCACCAAAACAAGGGCAAACAUUUUGAAAACAUAAUCUUUGACACAAUAUUCCAGAAAAUUUCACGUAUAUUUCAAUAUUACGUACAUUUCACCCGUAAUUCAUACUUUUUAAUCGUUGUACCUCAUAUUUUUUGGGUUAGAAUUU